rnacentral:rRNA from 1 species
GACGAACGCUGGCGGCGCGCUUAACGCAUGCAAGUCGAGCGAGAACCGGUCCUUCGGGACCGGGGAAAGCGGCGAACGGGUGAGUAACACGUGGGUAAUCUGCCCUCGGUUUCGGGAUAGCCCGGGGAAACCCGGAUUAAUACCGAAUGGCCCUUUCGGUCGUCGGAUUGAAAGGAAAAGGUAGCUUCGGCCUCCGACCGAGGAUGAGCCCGCGGCGGAUUAGCUUGUUGGUGGGGUAACGGCCUACCAAGGCGACGAUCCGUAGCUGGUCUGAGAGGACGAUCAGCCACACUGGGACUGAGACACGGCCCAGACUCCCACGGGAGGCAGCAGUGGGGAAUCUUGCGCAAUGGGCGAAAGCCUGACGCAGCGACGCCGCGUGCGGGAAGAAGGCCUUCGGGUUGUAAACCGCUUUCAGGUGGGACGAAGCCACUCGGGUGAAUAGCCCAGAGGGUGACGGUACCUCCAGAAGAAGUCCCGGCUAACUACGUGCCAGCCGCCGCGGUAA